AUGUAGCCCUAUCUUUUGCACUAAUAAAAACAUAGGGUCAUGCGGCAUUUUUGGGCACUCACAUGGCCUUGUUUACAAACAAUGUAGAUUCGCACUGAAUUCCUAAACUGACCCCCAUUACUUUUCAACCCUGUAGUAAAAAAAAUUAGUACAUUCAGCAUUUAUUUUUUUUAUUUUUUUAAACUCUAGUUUUGAUCCAUCUGCCAAAAAAUAUUUAUUACAAACAUUAUCU
rnacentral:lncRNA from 1 species